GAGAGAGAGAGAGAGAGAGAGAGAGAGGAGGGGGGCAUCCAGGGACCUCCCUGGCUAAGCAUGGGAGUGCACCAACACCCUCCACCCUCUCCUUCCAUUUAUCUGGCCCUGUGGGACAGGGUCUGCCACAGUCUCUCUCUGACCUCUCAGCUCCCAGAUGGAACACAAUGGGUCAACAGGGAGAAGACCUGGAGAGACCAGCAUAUACCUCACCCUAGCCACUGUAUCAAGACACACUUCAAAAAUAUGUUGUGGAUAGAGGAUCUUACAGACGCAUCACCAUCUUCUCAGUUGUCUUGAAUGCUCCAUAAAUCCAGAGAAUGACAGAUUUGAUGACAAAAU